rnacentral:antisense_RNA from 1 species
CUUCAGCGAACCGAGCCAGAGCGGCCGGUCUGCCGACCGAUCCCGCCCGUACGUGGCGAGCAGCGCGCCGGCCUC